CUUAACUCAAAAUCCCGAACCUAGAAACCCUUUUAGCAUAAUAUACAAGAAAAAUCAAAAAUUAACCUAGACCUAGAGAUAGAGCCUUCAGCAGUUGGAGAGAAGAUAAUCAGCGGUUGGUUUACAAGGGACAAAAUAGUGUCAUCUUCUUCAUGAAGAAUGAACACAACCAAACCCUAGGAAGAGCUAGAGCUAUUUUGGACCUUCUUAUGGAACCUACGCAAACGAUGAAGCUUCAUCUCCUUCAGUAGACAAACCCUAGAACAACCAAGCCAAAUCCAUCGCUCCAACUCCUUCCUCCAGAACACCGACGACCCCUUUCUUCAGAAACAACACCCCGCUUUGUCUCCUUCAUUCGUCGGAACUAACACCGACAGUCACCAAGUCCGGCAUCUCCCUCUCAUUUUCUAGUUGGAGUCGCUCCUUUUCUUCUACAUCCACAAGGCGAACCAGACCCCCGAAUCUCCUCUUGAAACCAAAUGACCGGUCCACACUUUCAGAAAACGAGCAGCUGCCUCGUCACCAGCUUCCCGCCGCUAGGCUGACCCUGUGCUUCUUUCCACACCUCUUAACUGCUCAGAAACGCACAUAUACAUACAAAUACAAAAUAGAAAGGAACAGACAAAACAAAAAAACAAAGGAUUAAAGGGGGAAGUCAUGCACGAACAUGGGGGUUGGACGAAAGAAAAGGAGUUAGAAAAUUGAAAAGAAACAACAAGGAGGAUCAAAUACUGAUCUGAAACUAAAGAAAAAAAAACAAAAAGAAUAAAAACAAAAACGGGCAGAGGACGGGGAAAAUAAAAAUUACAGAUUCAUGUUUUUCAUUUUUCGAUUCUGUUUUCUUGGUGUUCAAGAAUGAACUUUGGUUAAAAUGUGGGUUUGAAUCCGAGCUUGGUUGAGUUCCGCCCGGUUUUCAAUUUUCCGAUGCUAGUUCGAGUUCCAUCCGCGGUUCAUUACAUCUUGAGUUCAAAGUAGUGAAACAAUCAAUUGUCCGGCUAUAUUGAGGUUCAACUCUUUCAUCCUCUAUUUGUUUUAUGCAAGCUUGAUAUUAAUUAUUAGUUUGGAGAUAUGAUCCCGUUGAUUCUGUAAUUGUUCUCCGUAGUUUUGAAUUUUCUCACUUAGCUAUCUGCUCAUAUGUUUACUCGAAUUGGUUAUAGCUGAACGUGAUUUUGUCACAGUAUAGAAAUUGGGUUGCUAUUCAUCAACUGAACUAUGUCAAACUAGAUUAAAAGGGCUCGGGUGUGCAUUUCAUGUGGCCCUACAAUAAUUUUGAUAAUAAUAAUGGAAUAAACAUGUUAUAAAUCUGGGUGUACAUUUCAUGUGACCCGAUUCUCAUUUCCAACAAGGUUAAAUAGAACUUGUCGUGAACCACGGGUGCAUUUUAUGUAGCGGGGCUUACGAUGUUUUUUAAAUAAUCUUGAAAUUUCUUGAAAUAUUAGAAGAGGCUAAAAAGCAAAAAAUGAAAUAGGUUUAAAAUGUGUAAUAAAUCAGAUAAUUAAGCCAAUACUAAUAGUUAAGCGACCAUGCUAAAACCACGGAACCCGAGAAUGCCUAACACCUACUCCCGGGUUAACAGAAUUCCUUACCCGGAUUUCUGUGUUCGCAGACUAUAAAUAAGAGUCAAACUUCCUCGAUUCGGGAUUUUAAACCGGUGACUUAGGACAACAUAAAUUAUCCCUAGUGGCGACUCUGAAUAAGAAUAAAUAAUCAUGUUUCGAUUGUCACUUAAAUUGGAAAAACUCCCUUAUACUUUUUCGGGUGGUAAAAAAGAGGUAUGACAGCUCUAGCGAUUUUGUUGGGGAAUAGAACACAGAACCUCUGGUUCAGGGUUCAAGAAUUCGAGCUUAGAAUAAUUGUUAUAUUUGGAUUUAUUUAUUAUCUGGUUUUAUUUACUUGUUUGGGCCUAAUAUGCUAAAUGCUGCUUUUUACCGCCUUGAUAUUGUUGAACUGUAUAUAAAUUGAUACGAAACCCUCCUCUCUCUGAGUCUUCUAAAUCAUCUGGGAAGUGUGCACUUCGUGUGACUUCUCUUCUGUUAGAGUCAUAUCCCAAUUUUAGAACACGGUUCGGACAAGUUGCAAAGCCGGUGAAGCUUCUGUAUUCCUGGUACCCUGUCCCCCCCCCUCGGUUUGAGUUGUCCGCUCGGGUAAGCCAGGUCUAGAUCAAAUAAACCCGAGUUUUUAAACCUAGAAUAACAUAGUUGCAUGUCAGAUCCCUAGUAGGAACGCUUGUUUGCAUCACGUGCAUCUAACUUUGGGGACUCAACACAGGGGUUGGGUCCGUCUAGGACAGGUGUACCCCAAAAAAAUAAAAGACCAUCCUAAUGCAUCCUAAUGUGCUACAUGUUGCUAUCUUCAAGGGUAAAAGGGUCAUUUGGUGGACCAAUAAUAGUUGAGGGCAAAUGAAAAAAUAAAGAAAAAAAGAGAGCGUGAAGUAUGAAAAUAAAACAAGUAGAGCUCAGUUAUAUUUUCUGUCACAUUUUGAUUAAGAAAGGACAAAAAAAAUAAAAAAUCCAAAAAAGGAUUUUACACUUUUUCAUCAUUUUCCGAAAAAAAAAUCAAAAAAGGGGAAAAGAAGAUUCAAAAAGAGUUUACAUGUUUCAUCAUUUUCAAGGAAAAGACAAAAAAUAUAUUUUCUCUUAAUUAGUUGUUUUUUUAUUUUAUUUCCCGCCCGUAUCGAAACUGCCCGAACUACGCGAACCUGGUUCUCGUCUCUCAGGGUGGGAUACGUAGGCAAUCCAUAUAGGGUCCGGUCUUCCUAGUGAGUCUUAGGUACUUGGCUUUGCGGGGUCUUAGCCAAAUUUUGCACCUCUAGCCACCUUUUGGUCACAUAAGCCAUUUUGCAAAAAUAGCCUCAAUCAUGUCUUGCAUGCGUCCAAUAGGGAGUGUUAUUGUCUCACCUAUUGUUGGUUUGAGGUUUUUUUAUACAUGUGUGGAUCUACUUACCGGAAUUUGAGCAUGACAGACACCCCGUGACUAUCCAGUCAGGAUCGCUCAUUCAGGAGUUGCUUAAGGAGAUCUGUUUUAUUUUUUUAUGUUUUGAGUCUGUUCUUCAUUUUAUGUUGCCUUUUAUUUUCUAGUUUUGUACAGUAAUGUCGAGUCUUUUGCUACUGUACUUUCUACUUUAUAUUUGAAAAAGUGUGUCGUAACUCAAAAAUCCAAAAAAAAAAGAAAAGAGGUUUCGCAUUUUAUAUUUCUGUUAGAAGUUUUCUUUAGAAUACUAAUUCUUUUAAGGUAGUUUUCCUUUAGGAAAUUAAUAUCUAGAACUCAAAAUAAAAAAUUGUUGCUAUAUUUUCUUUUAGUCCAUUAAGACUAAAAAUUCAAAAAAAAGAGAAUUUUCUUUUAGUACCUCUUUAAAAGUUUUCUUUAAGAUUUUAGUUCCAAAAAUCCAAAAAGAUUUUCUUUUAAGGUUCUUCUUUGUGAAAUUAACGAAAAAUGAAAAACAAUUCUUUUUAUUUCUACUAGAAUUUUAGGAUAUUGUACAUAUAAGAAAAAAACAUACUUUAUCUUUGAUUUAUUUUCAGAAUUUCUCCCUUAGGUAAUCAAAUUAAAAUCCAAAAAUAUUUUUUUUAUCUUUUUCAUUUCUUGGUUCGAAAUCUUUCUUUCAGGAUAUCAAACGAAAAUUCAAAAUAUCUUUCUUUGGUUCAUCCUUUAGAUUUCCUUUCUAAAAAAAUGAAUCAAAAAAUAUUUUUCUCUUCUAAGGGUUUUUCCUUAAUAAUUUCUCAUCAGAGUAUUCAUUAAGAUAAAAAAAAGAAAAAAAAGAAAAAAAAUGAGAACGUUAGUUUGUUUACUUUAUUCCUGAUCUUCCCGAACUACGCAAAGAUCUGAUUCAUGCGGCAUCAUGAUACGUAGGCAACCUACAUAGGGUUCGAUCGAAUUAUUUUUUAUUAUUAUUAUUAUUUUAUUAAAGGAAAAAAUAAGGAAACGAAAAAAAAGAGGUGAAAUUAUGGGAUGUGAGAAAUGAAAGGAAAGAAAAGAGUGAUAAUUAGAAGAAAAAAAAGAGGAAGGAAAAUGAGCAAGCCAAGAAGUGCCAGAAAAUAAAAUAAAAAAGAAGAUUGAAAUGAACAAAUUGGGAUGAUGCCAAGUGACCUUGUGACCCUCGAAAUCAUUUUUGAACCGUUAAUUGUUGCUAGGUACAUUGCACACAAUGUGAUAUUUGCAGUUGUUAAAUGCCCUAACGCUAACGUGAUGACCUCAUUUUGUUCCUUUUUGUUAUCUCCAUUGAGCAGAAGAGUGGUUGGUUUGUGGUUCUUAAGGUAACUCAUCCAUACAACACAAGGUCAAAGAGCAAUGUAGCCAUGACUAGCAAAGACCUGGAUACAAGAGUUGUUGACCCGUCGGGGAAGUUUGUGGAGUCGGAGUCUAAAUUGAAAGGGGAGGUCCAAAUGUUGAAACAACAGAUGGAAGAAUGUAUCAGUCUUGGAUCAAGGGACAUCCUCCACCUUCAUUCCCCACUAACUACACUGAAAACCCUGCCACUGUCCCACCACUAUCACAAAUCCAGAAUCCCACUGCUGCUGAUAUCUCCCUACAACCUUUUCACACUCUACCUGUCAAAACCACUUCAUAUCCCGCUCCUUUGGCCACUCAUGACCUUGUAGCUCCUUCUCCAGCUAUUUUCCCUCGAUCCUCUCACGAGACUGUGCUCAAAGUCCCCAAUGCCCAACACUAUGCUCCAGAACCAACUUUCAAAGUCUUGGAUCCAUACUCUCACGCUCCUUAUCAGAUUCAAUAUUAAAAGCUUUUGACAAGUAUCUUUCUAAACUUUCACUAGACCAAUUUAAUAAUGGAAUAAUACUAACUUAAAAGACAUGCUCAAAUAGCAACACAGUAGAUCCAAACAAUAAAAUGUCUGUAUUACAGUGACAUGUAUAUGAGAAAUAAGAAGAUCAAAUUAAAAUAAAAUUAUGCUUAUCAAAGACAAAUAAAAGUUUAUUCAUGCUCAGAAGUUCACAAUCACAAUCAUAAAAAUAAUGCAAUAGUCAAGUAUAAAUGAGAGAUGGACCUUUGAUGACCUCGACAGACCGGGAAUGAAAACGCCAACGGAAACAACGACUUUCAAACUCGAACGGCACCUCGACUGAACGAACUCAAAUGGACUUCAAUCUUGAUCGAAAUUCUUGGUUUGGAACCGAAAACCAAAGGAGCAGAAACUAAGAUAUAUUUUUGGUACUUCUUUUCCUUAAACUCAAACAAUAACUCUUACUUUGAAAUUAAAAACUAAAAGAAGAAACUAAAUAUUUUUGUAUAUUUUCUGAAAAUCAGUCACAACUCUAAUUCAACAUAAAACAGAAACAUUUUUUUUGUAUUAUUUCUCUUCUUUUGAAAUCCAAAAAGAGAUCAGAAACUUUGAAGGGAAUUUGAACAAUUUUCCAAAUUUCGAAGCCAAAAAUGGAACCCAAGACCUUUUCAAAAAAUCUAGCUUUUCAAUCCAAUUUCUCGAUCUAAACUCCUCUUCGUUUCUUAGAUGCCAUCUAUGGGAAAAGAGUGAAUCCCUCUCAAUAUCUAUUCCUCCUUUCUCGUUCUUUACUCUCUGGCCAUCCUCUUUGUUUAUUUGUAUGGUUUUCUGGGGUGGGAUUUAUUGGGAUUUUUCGUUGGCUCCUUGUUGGAAUUGGAACGAAG
rnacentral:lncRNA from 1 species